AGAUUGAACGCUGGCGGCAUGCUUUACACAUGCAAGUCGAACGGGUAACAGGCCGCAAGGUGCUGACGAGUGGCGAACGGGUGAGUAAUGCAUCGGAACGUGCCCAGUCGUGGGGGAUAACGCAGCGAAAGCUGUGCUAAUACCGCAUACGAUCUAUGGAUGAAAGCGGGGGACCAAGGCCUCGCGCGAUUGGAGCGGCCGAUGUCAGAUUAGCUAGUUGGUGGGUAACGGCCCACGAAGGCGACGAUCUGUAGCUGGUCUGGAGAGGACCGACCAGCCACACGUGGAACUGAGACACGGUCCAGACUCCGUACGGGCGCAGCGAGGUGGGG
rnacentral:rRNA from 1 species